rfam:Bacillus pumilus SAFR-032, complete genome.
CCCGUGCUACAACCGCGCGAAGCAGGUGUAAAGAGCCUAAGGCCCCCUGUAUUCGGCGAGUCUGAGUUUAUUA